rnacentral:rRNA from 1 species
UACGAAGGGUGCAAGCGUUACUCGGAAUCACUGGGCGUAAAGCGUGCGUAGGCGGUUCGGUAAGUCUGUUGUGAAAGCCCUGGGCUCAACCUGGGAACUGCAGUGGAUACUGGCGAGCUAGAGUACGGUAGAGGAAGGUGGAAUUCCCGGUGUAGCGGUGAAAUGCGUAGAGAUCGGGAGGAACACCAGUGGCGAAGGCGGCCUGCUGGACCAGUACUGACGCUGAGGCACGAAAGCGUGGGGAGCAAACAGG